ACAUAGAUAUAUAUGUGUAAUAUUCAUCGCUGGACGUUAAACAUUUAUUAUCAAUUUUUGCAAAGAUGAUUGUUCAUAUCUUACGGCAAUAUUGUUUAGUAGGAAGAUGUUGUAUGAUUGCCACUUUGUCAACUCUUAAAGAGACCAAAUGACACAGAAAGUAACAGCUAUUUGUCACAGUACGGCCUUCAACAAUCACCAAAACCCAUACCGCAUAAGUAGCUAUUAAAGCACC
rnacentral:lncRNA from 1 species